rnacentral:lncRNA from 1 species
UUCUAAUUUCUGUCUGACAGUGGGCCCAGUCAUGGUUUCAAUACAGCUCAGCAGAGCAAUGCAGCAAAUCCAGGUGGCAACACUAAAAUACUCAGAAAAGACCAACCAAGCAACCAAAGCAUAACAUCAGCAAUAGCACAACCAAUGUGAAUCAUGAGAACCCUCUGUCUUUAUUAAAUUUGGGGGAAGAAAUCAAGGUCACGAAAUCAAGUGACUGGUGAUGGGGCCUAGAAAUGAGUGUCUCCCCCCACCCCCGGUUUCCGCUCUGGCAGGCGGGUGUUA